rnacentral:rRNA from 1 species
AUAAGACAAGAAGACCCUAUCGAGCUUUAAGUUUGCUGCAUAGAAUCAUUUAGUUGACUUUUGGUUGGGGCAACCAGGG